AAACCUGAGGAACCCGAAAGAUCGAAUGGGGAGAUUCAGCGUCAGCGGCGGUUGGCUCGGCGAGUGGACGAUGUCGUGGACCACGGUAUCGCGACACUUUAUCACUUGCCGCGUCCGGCGUCGUCGUCGUGCACUUCUCCCCUAGUAGAACGUCGCGACCCGUUGGGUGUCGGUCUACGGCACGAGGUGUCAAGACUGUCGCGUCGCUUCGGCGCAUGCGGCAGACCCUCGUUUGCCUGGCCGGCUGCCCGGCGGUAGAACGCACGGUAUCUGGCCGCAAUUUCGAAAUGCGUCGGGCCCGUCGCAAGCGAGGUCAGUGUCACGGAGUAGACGGACCUAGUGCCGUCCCCGUGCCUGGCCAGCUGUUGGCAGACGGAGUCCUUAGACGGGCAGAAUAUGAUUGUACCGGUCGGCGACGCUACUGCUUUGGGUACUCUCAGGACCCGUCUUGAAACACGGACCAAGGAGUCUAACAUGUGCGCGAGUCAUUGGGAUUGUAAAGCCUAAAGGCGCAAUGAAAGUGAAGGUCGGCUUCGCGUCGACCGAGGGAGGAUGAGCCGCGCCACGACGCGGCUCCGCACUCCCGGGGCGUCUCGUUCUCAUUGCGAGAAGAGGCGCACCCAGAGCGUACACGUUGGGACCCGAAAGAUGGUGAACUAUGCCUGGUCAGGACGAAGUCAGGGGAAACCCUGAUGGAGGUCCGUAGCGAUUCUGACGUGCAAAUCGAUCGUCGGAACUGGGUAUAGGGGCGAAAGACUAAUCGAACCAUCUAGUAGCUGGUUCCCUCCGAAGUUUCCCUCAGGAUAGCUGGCACUCGCCCGUUCUCACGAACGUAUAAGAGUCUCAUCUGGUAAAGCGAAUGAUUAGAGGCCUUGGGGCCGAAACGACCUCAACCUAUUCUCAAACUUUAAAUGGGUGAGAUCUCUGGCUUGCUUGAAUAUUGAAGCCACGAGAUUUCGGAUCAGAGUGCCAAGUGGGCCAAUUUU
rnacentral:rRNA from 1 species